rnacentral:lncRNA from 1 species
UAUUUAAAAUAUGCCAUAAGCAUCAAAAUAUAAUUGAUCAACAUCAUAUCAAUUUUUAUAGUAAACCUUGUGGAUAGCACAACAAACUCACUAAGAUCUUGACAUAUUCUAUCGAUCAAGUUCGAAGGAAGGCCCUUAUAAUGUCUACAUCACUAAUCAAUAUCUAAGUCCAAAAUUCAAUAAGACCAAAUUGGCCAGG